GUCGAGGAUCAUUGGCAAUGCGCGAAAGCGUGACCAUGCGACGCUGCGUGGAGGAUGAAGGCCUUCGGGUUGUAAACUCCUGUCAUGAGGGAAAAACCGUCCCAAUGUGAACAGCAUUGGGGCCCGAUGGUACCUCAAGAGGAAGCCACGGCUAACUCUGUGCCAGCAGCCGCGGUAAUACAGAGGUGGCGAGCGUUGUUCGGAUUUACUGGGCGUAAAGGGUGCGUAGGUGGUUUCGUGUGUCGGAUGUGAAAGCCCACCGCCUAACGGUGGAAUGGCAUUCGAAACUGCGGAACUAGAGUGCAGGAAGGGAGAGUGGAAUUCUUGGUGUAGCGGUGAAAUGCGUUGAUAUCAAGAGGAACACCGGCGGCGAAGGCGGCUCUCUGGAAUGCAACUGACACUGAGGCACGAAAGCUGGGGGAGCAAACAGGAUUAGAUACCCUUGUAGUCC
rnacentral:rRNA from 1 species